GCCUUGCACAUUGGGAAACCGAGCAACGCGUACAGAACAGCGCGCAAUGAGCUCCCCAAGUUUGUCUGUCGAAAUCACCAACUAGUUACACCGGCAAAAAGCGGCAUGGAGCUGCCCCGCCCCGAUCACACCAGUACUCGGCCCUGGCUCCAUCCCGAGAGCACGUAUGGGACAUGUCAGUGUUUCCGCACACAGCUGCAACAACACCACUCGAAUACGUACCGUCCGUGCAAGUUCCGCACGUACCGCAAGUGCAUGUUUGUCGCUCAAUCCAUGUCUGCGUGCUCCUAUUGCAUACAUACUCAGGCCCGUUUAAGGCAGUCCCCUCGUGCAGUCCCUUGUUGCCAUGCAAAUAUGAUCACGGUGUCACACUCGGCAACACCGACGCACGGCCCAUCGCACAUGGCCCUCACACCAAUUAACAAUACGUGCAACACCAGAUGGGCUAACUUCCACUGUGCCGAGCCAAAGGGGCGCCUGUUGCGCCAACGGCUAACCCAGGAAGCCGGCACACCGCAGCUCUCACGCGCGCUCACUUCACUCAUAGCUCCUGGACGGCACCAACACCCGACCGCACGCUCUAGCCAGCACUCCGAGCUCCCCAGAGUAACACUGUGCAGAGAAGCCACCACCACCACGACCACGUGCGUGCCUGUGAAAAGGCAGCAGCAAACCCCUCCACGAAAACAGUCGACAUGUGCACGUACCAGGAGUAACAACUCUAAAACAGAAAUGAUGCAGGUUGCCCAAAGCUCGACGUUUUCCCAUGUACUUGACGUACCCAAGUCCACACCCUCAACUGCACCCCGACUCACCUUCUGUGCACGUUGCCGCGCCACGCAGGCCGAGUUGAGUUGCCGCGUGCUCCACUACAUCAGCGAAGACCUCACCCAAUUCGAGGUUAAUGGCCCCG
rnacentral:lncRNA from 1 species